rnacentral:ncRNA from 1 species
AAGAGCCGUAUGCGGGAAAUUCGCACGUACGGAUCUGUGAGGGUUUUACCUUUGACUAAUUAUAAAGGUUGGAGGUAAUUCUACUCUAU